GUCCUAAUAGUAAAAUAAUUGAAGUCAUAAUGAUCAUGCUACACCUAUUUUUUGAAUUAAGAGAGCGGGUAGGAAUGGACCAAAUUAAUUAUAAUUCAGUUGUAUAUAUAUUAGUAAGAUUAUUGCUGGUCAAAUCGGGGCUCCUUUUAUUAAUAGACCGCGAAUAAAGAAACGAAGGGGCAAAAACAGUGCGAAAAACCGAAGAGUUAGAGGUAAGAAGAGUAAAAGUUCUCCCUGCGUUGCUUGAGGGUUUUUCCUACAUCUUCUUAGUGCUGUUACCGGUGGUUGGUUCACUGCGAGCAGCUUCAGCGAGGAUUGGGCCAUCCACUCUCCCCUGGCAAGGCGCUACUGACGUGGGACUGUCCUAUUCAUGCUGGUGUCAAGAUCGCAACUAUAGGAUUUGGUGGGAGUAAGUUCAAAGGUUUAGUCAAUAUGUUUCCUCGUGUUUUCACUACCUUACGUAUCACUAGGCAUGGAGAGCAUGGAAUCGGAUGCUAACAGGUUGCGACAGGCGCUGAAUCUGCAAGGAGGGGAGGUUGAAGAACUACUGAUCCCCGAUGGUCUAUGGAGUUCGAAAUUUGAGGGGUUUCGCCUCUGCUUCGUGGGGCAUUUACUAUCUAGGAGGAUGUUUAACUUUGAGAACUUGUGCGCGUCACUUUGGAGUACGAUUAUGUCGGUUAAAGGGAUGGACAUUAAGCGACUUCCUACAGACCGCCUCCUCUUCUGUUUUAAUCACAUGAUUUAGAAAAUAGAGCGCUCGAAGGUUGCCUGUGGAGCUUUGAAAAGAAUGUGUUGGUCCUGAGUGGCAUUGGUGAGAAUGGAAACCUAUGCAUGUAGAUGUUA